rnacentral:rRNA from 1 species
UACGUAGGUGGCAAGCGUUGUCCGGAAUGACUGGGCGUAAAGGGUGCGUAGGCGGCUAAGCAAGUUAGAAGUGUAAUCCCCGGGCUCAACCUGGGGGCUACUUCUAAAACUGCGUAGCUUGAGUGUGGGAGAGGUAAGUGGAAUUCCUAGUGUAGCGGUGGAAUGCGUAGAUAUUAGGAGGAACACCAGAGGCGAAGGCGGCUUACUGGACCAUAACUGACGCUGAUGCACGAAAGCGUGGGGAGCAAACAGGAUUAGAUACC